rnacentral:rRNA from 1 species
AACGAACGCUGGCGGCAUGCCUAACACAUGCAAGUCGAACGAGGCCCUUCGGGGUUUAGUGGCGCACGGGUGCGUAACGCGUGGGAAUUUGCCCUUUGGUUUGGAAUAACAGCUGGAAACGGCUGCUAAUACCGGAUGAUGACGAAAGUCCAAAGAUUUAUUGCCAGAGGAUGAGCCCGCGUUGGAUUAGGUAGUUGGUGGGGUAAAGGCCUACCAAGCCGACGAUCCAUAGCUGGUUUGAGAGGAUGAUCAGCCACACUGGGACUGAGACACGGCCCAGACUCCUACGGGAGGCAGCAGUGGGGAAUAUUGGACAAUGGGCGCAAGCCUGAUCCAGCAAUGCCGCGUGAGUGAUGAAGGCCCUAGGGUUGUAAAGCUUUUUUACCCGGGAAGAUAAUGACUGUACCGGGAGAAUAAGCCCCGGCUAACUCCGUG